UCCCUGGUGGUCCAGUGGUUAGGACUUGGCAUUUUCACUGACAUGGCCCAGGUGCAAUCCCUGGUCAGGGAA